UACGAAGGUGGCAAGCGUUGUUCGGAUUUACUGGGCGUACAGGGAGCGUAGGCGGUUGGGUAAGCCCUCCGUGAAAUCUCCGGGCCUAACCCGGAAAGUGCGGAGGGGACUGCUCGGCUAGAGGAUGGGAGAGGAGCGCGGAAUUCCCGGUGUAGCGGUGAAAUGCGUAGAGAUCGGGAGGAAGGCCGGUGGCGAAGGCGGCGCUCUGGAGCAUUUCUGACGCUGAGGCUCGAAAGCGUGGGGAGCAAACAGGG
rnacentral:rRNA from 1 species